AUGAUAGGACAUGUUUAUGAUGGUGUGCAGUCUCCUGGCGGGUAUUUCUACGACAAGGUUGUGCUGUCCGGUCCUCCGUCCACUUGUCGCGCCGUCGCUGUGGUCAUCCACCUGGACGGCAAGCGGCUCUCUUUUGCAAGAAUAGGAGACAAACAUUGGCAACAAGUUUCGGUGAUCCGAAGAAGCGGGGAUAGCUUUGCAGAUUGCAUCUACCACCGUGGAAGGUUCUAUGCGGUGACAAUGGAAGGGAUAUUGAAGUCAUGGGACUUUGGUGGACCAGACAAACCGAGGAAGAAGACGGUCAUCGCCGAGGAUGACGAAGACAUGUUCGACGACCCAGUUAUCACUAGGUAUUUGCUUUCGACACCUUGGGGUCAUCUCCUGCAGGUGCGUGUCUUUCUUGACACGCUCCGUGGAAACAACGUCAGGAUUGAAAUAGACAGGUUGGACCUCAAGAGUCAGACAAGGGUAGCACUGAGCUCAGGGAAGGCUCUGCGGGCACAUGCCGCCUUCGUCGGACAGAAUAGCCCAGGCAUUUUAUCCACCAAAGAAUUCCCCAAACUAAGACCGGAUUGUAUCUAUUUCACAACUCCCCGCCUCAGAGAGCGCCGCCCUUUCGAGAAUCGCCAUAACCAAUGGAGCGGCGUGAAAGUCUAUGACCUGAAAAGACAGACACUUGAGGACGCUUUCCCGUCUGGUGGAGGUCUUUACGGGACCAUCUAUCCAUUGGAAGUCUGGUUCAUGCCGAGUGUAGUCUGA
rnacentral:rRNA from 1 species